rnacentral:lncRNA from 1 species
GCCACUUGCACUCUGCAUGCACAGCACUUCCCAGAGCUCUGUGUCAAGAUGGAUUUAUAAUGGGAUUCAUAAUGAUGAAAAUCUUGAUUGAUUAACAUGAACGGGCAAGUAAGGCAUCGUCACACAUGGGAGGCUCCCUGUCCAAAUUAUUUCCCCCUUCAGGAAUUUUCAUUGAGCAAACACAUAGAAAAGGAAACAGCUUUCUCAUAAACAGCCUCAAUUGCAAAGAGUUCAGUUGACAAAACUAUACGUUCAAUAUUUAUGUAUGACUUAACUUUAUCUAGUUUCUGAGUUUUGUUUUUCUUACAAAGUUAUAUAACGUUUCAUGAGAUUAACAUACUGUGACUGUCAUGUCCUGACCAGUAUAAGGGGUUAUUGUUUAUUGUAGUUUGGUCAGGACGUUGCAGGGGGUAUUUGUUUUAUGUGGUUCGGGGUUUAAUGGUAUAUGUAUUUAUGUAAGAGGGGUGUUUGAUUUAUGUGUUCCGGGGUUUUGGGGUAAUGUUCUUGUUUUGUAUUUCUAUGGUUUUCUAUGUUGUUGUACUGCUGUGUGUUAGCCUGCAACACUGUUCGUUCAAUCGUUUUCUUGUUUUGUUUGUUACGUGUUCUAAUAAAGUUAAGAUGAGCACUCAACCCGCUGCACCUUGGUCCAUGACGUACGACGACCGUUACAGUGACAGACCAACAACUUUAAUGAGAGAUGUGGUGAUAGACUACUAGAGCCUGAGAAAUCCCCCAAGAGAGAACUCCAAGCUAACCAGACAAAACAACAGUGAAACUCCAACAUGUCACUGAGAGCCCACAGAAAACCAGACGCCAUCCUAUUCACUCUGUAGUCUCAAGACCAUGCCAUGCCUCAAGAUGAUUCUGCAAUCCACAAGACAAACAAGAC